AAAAAGACAAACCUUGGGUUUCCGUGUCUAACGUUUGACCGUCCGUCUUAUUUGAAAAAAAUAUGAAAAAAAUUAAAAAGACAAGUCACGCAUAAAGUAUUAAUCAUGUUUUAUCAUCUAACAACAAUGAAAAUACUAAUUACAAAAAAAUUUCAUAUAAAACGGACAGUCAAACAUUAGACACGAAAAUCUAGUGUUUGUCUUUUU
rnacentral:pre_miRNA from 1 species